rnacentral:rRNA from 1 species
GGGGGCGAGCGAAAGCGGCUCCCGCUGAGGGAUGGGCCUGCGGCUGAUUAGCUAGUUGGUGGGGUAGCGGCCUACCAAGGCAACGAUCAGUAGCCGACCUGAGAGGGUGACCGGCCACACUGGGACUGAGACACGGCCCAGACUCCUACGGGAGGCAGCAGUGGGGAAUAUUGCGCAAUGGGCGAAAGCCUGACGCAGCGACGCCGCGUGGGUGAUGAAGGCCUUCGGGUCGUAAAACCCUGUCGGGUGGAACGAAUCUCCUCUUCUCUAAUACAGGAGAGGAUUGACGGUACCACCGAAGGAAGCCCCGGCUAACUACGUGCCAGCAGCCGCGGUAAUACGUAGGGGGCGAGCGUUGUUCGGAUUUACUGGGCGUAAAGAGCGCGUAGGUGGUUCGAUGAGUCGGAUGUGAAAUCCCUCGGCUCAACCGAGGACCCGCGUCCGAUACUGUCGAACUUGAGUGCAGGAGAGGAGAGCGGAAUUCCCAGUGUAGCGGUGAAAUGCGUAGAUAUUGGGAGGAACACCGGUGGCGAAGGCGGCUCUCUGGACUGUCACUGACACUGAGGCGCGAAAGCUAGGGGAGCAAACGGGAUUAGAUACCCCGGUAGUCCUAGCCGUAAGCGAUGGGCACUAGGUGUGGGAGGUAUCGACCCCUUCCGUGCCGCAGCUAACGCAUUAAGUGCCCCGCCUGGGGAGUACGGCCGCAUGGUUGAAACUCAAAGGAAUUGACGGGGGCCCGCACAAGCGGUGGAGCAUGUGGUUUAAUUCGACGCAACGCGAAGAACCUUACCAGGGCUUGACAUCCCGCGAAUCCUGCCGAAAGGCAGGAGUGCCCGCAAGGGAGCGCGGAGACAGGUGGUGCAUGGCUGUCGUCAGCUCGUGUCGUGAGAUGUUGGGUUAAGUCCCGCAACGAGCGCAACCCUCACCCCUUGUUGCUACCAGGUAAAGCUGGCACUCUAGGGGAACUGCCCCGGUCAACGGGGAGGAAGGCGGGGAUGACGUCAAGUCAUCAUGCCCCUUACGUCCUGGGCUACACACGUGCUACAAUGGCCGGUACAAAGGGAUGCCACACCGCGAGGUAGAGCUAAACCCAAAAAGCCGGUCUAAGUUCAGAUUGGAGUCUGCAACUCGACUCCAUGAAGGAGGAAUCGCUAGUAAUCGCGUAUCAGCACGACGCGGUGAAUACGUUCCCGGGCCUUGUACACACCGCCCGUCACACCACGAAAGCCAGUUGUACUCGAAGUCGCCGAGCUAACCCGCAAGGGAG